rnacentral:rRNA from 1 species
UACGCAGGAUGCAAGCGUUAUCCGGAAUGAUUGGGCGUAAAGCGUCCGCAGGUGGCUAUGUAAGUCUGCUGUUAAAGAGUGAGGCUCAACCUCAUAAGAGCAGUGGAAACUACAUGGCUAGAGUGCGUUCGGGGCAGAGGGAAUUCCUGGUGUAGCGGUGAAAUGCGUAGAUAUCAGGAAGAACACCGGUGGCGAAAGCGCGUGACUGGGCCACAACUGACGCUGAGGAACGAAAGCCAGGGGAGCAAAAGGG